rnacentral:lncRNA from 1 species
GGCUGUGCCUCGGGCCAGAAAACAUUGCCUGGCAUAAAGUAGGCCCUCCUUUCAGACUCGAAGGAUAACGGUAUGAACUCCUACCAGCCUCAUUUUUCCAUCAGACCACUGAGCUCAGUGACAGCCCACCCUCCUUUCCCUCCUAGUGGCGAAUUCCUGUCAAGGAAGCAAAGACUAUCAAUAGAUUUUCUUAUUGCGUGAAGAAGAUAUGGAGAGGAAACAGUUGGCGCUCUAACUUCCUCGACUGCUGAUGGAGAUAACCCGCCAGGCCUCCCACUCUGAGGCGUAAGGCGUCGCGAGGGUAAGACCGACGCAGAGUUCCCAAAAAUGUACCGAAUGACUGCGUCCAUCACAACUACGCCCCACCCCCAGAGGGCAAAUAUAGCACCAAUCAUCAGCGCACAGGGCGGGCUCAGGGGAGGAGCCUGCUGUUGCCCCAGCAACAACCCGGGAACCCUA